UACGAAGGGGGCUAGCGUUGCUCGGAAUCACUGGGCGUAAAGGGUGCGUAGGCGGGUCUUUAAGUCAGGGGUGAAAUCCUGGAGCUCAACUCCAGAACUGCCUUUGAUACUGAGGAUCUUGAGUCCGGGAGAGGUGAGUGGAACUGCGAGUGUAGAGGUGAAAUUCGUAGAUAUUCGCAAGAACACCAGUGGCGAAGGCGGCUCACUGGCCCGGUACUGACGCUGAGGUGCGAAAGCGUGGGAGCAAACGGG
rnacentral:rRNA from 1 species